rnacentral:lncRNA from 1 species
CUUCUGGAAUCUACUCUAAAGAGCAAUUGACCAACAACUGCUGCCAAGUUUCCGAGUGCACUCACAUGAUUCUGGAAGUGGCAGUUUCAAGCAGCUGUGAUGAGGUGGUGAGCAGUGAGUUGCUCCUCACUCAUGCAGUGGGCCCUGGAAUGAAGAGGAGGAAAGCAGACCUGAACAAGGUGUUGAGCUCCCACUUCAGGACUCCUCAUCCUUCCAGCCUUGAGUUGAGAUGGAAUCAGACUGGUUGGAAUUACCUACACUAGGGGACUCGAAUUAGGCCUUCUAGUUGGUCAUUUCUCUUCUCCAUUGAAAGGGUCAAAGUGGGCCAAUAAGAUGGGUAGAGAUUUGCUCAUAACAUAUCUGCAGGUGCUCGGAAGUUGAUAGUGCUUCAAGUCUCUGACCUCCUGGAGGUCACUCUAGAACACUCUAGGGAAACUUCUCUGAAGGCCAGUCCAAGAAGAACCCUGGUGGUACCAAGGAAUGUUUUAAUGACAGCGAAAAUUCAUGCACCCUGAAAUAUUAGAGGAAGAACUCAGAUCAUCUGACCCAAUCUACUCAUUUUACAGAUGGG